CAGUGUCCCUCUGACAUUUGGAGCCAGCCCCAAGGCUAGAUGAACAGCAGCUAGCACUCGUUCCCAUCGCUCUGCACUCUGCUGCGUGAUCUGCUCCCAGCUUCACAACCUGGGCAAGCUGGACAGCCUUUCCACCCUCUCACCUCAUGACCAGAGCACGAGGAGAGCUGUGCGCCCACUUGGCCAGCUGCGGUGCUGUAGGGAUCAUCUGCCUGUCCACGUCCCCACCUGCCCACCUGCACGUCUAUACGUCUCCACACACACUGCAUCGCCUGCAUGUCCACCCUGGUGGUCGUUCUGGAGAGCCCUGCCUGACAGGAAGGUGGCAGUUCGGAUCAGCAAGUCACUCUGUGUGAGUGCCCAGCAUGGUGUCCAGCACUAGGAGCCUUUGGUAAAUGACAGUGAUGAGGGU
rnacentral:lncRNA from 1 species